rnacentral:rRNA from 1 species
GACGAACGCUGGCGGCGUGCCUAACACAUGCAAGUCGAACGGAAAGGCCCUGCUUUUGUGGGGUGCUCGAGUGGCGAACGGGUGAGUAACACGUGAGUAACCUGCCCAUGACUUUUGGAUAACUUCAGGGAACUGGGGCUAAUACCGGGUAGGAGCUCCGGCUGCAUGGUGGUGGUUGGAAAGUUUCGGCGGUUGGGGAUGGAGUCGCUUUUUAUCAUCUUGUUGGUGGGGUAGUGGCUUACCAAGGCUUCGACGGAUAGUCGGCCUGCGGGGGUGGCCUGCGACACGGCGCCUGAGCCUCGGCCCAGCAGCAGACGGGAGUCAGCGGUGGGGAGUAUUACCCUGACCGCGCAAGGCUGCUGCAGCGAUGCCGCGUGUGGGAUGACGGCCUUCUGGUGUUAAACCGCAUUCGCAGAUGACGAAGCGCGAGUGACGGUAACGGGUAAAGAAGCACCGGCUAACUUCGUG